AGUGAACGCUGGCGGCAGGCCUAACACAUGCAAGUCGAACGGCACCACCGGGGAGAUUGCCCUCUAGGUGGCGAGGGGCGGAUGAGUUAGGAAUACAUCGGAAACCGCUCAGUCGUGGGUGAUAACGUAGGGAAAGUUACGUUAAUACAGAAUAUGACCUUCGGUUGAAAGGGGGGGAGCCCCAGACCUCACUUGAUUGGGUGAGCCGAUGUCCGAUUAGCUUGUUAGCGGGGGGAUGGCCCACCUAGGCGGCCACCCGGAGACGGUCUGAGAGGAUGAACCGCCACACUGGCAGUGAGACACGGUACAGACUCCUACGGUAGGCAGCAGUUGGGAAUGUUGGGCAAUGGGCGAGAGCCUAAUCCAGCGAUAGCGCGUGUGUGAAGAAGGCCUUCGGGUUGUAAAGCCCUUUUGUUGGUAAAGAAAUCAUUCUGGCUAAUCCGCUGGGAGGAUGACGGUACCCAGAGAAGAAGCACCGGCUAACUUCGUG
rnacentral:rRNA from 1 species